UAAUUACUGAUAGAUGGUCUCGAAAAGCCUUAUAGCGAUGUUGGGGGCAUUCGAGACCCCUGUUAGUUACCU